rnacentral:rRNA from 1 species
UACGAAGGGGGCUAGCGUUGCUCGGAAUCACUGGGCGUAAAGCGCACGUAGGCGGACUCUUAAGUCGGGGGUGAAAUCCUGGAGCUCAACUCCAGAACUGCCUUCGAUACUGGGAGUCUUGAGUUCAGGAGAGGUGAGUGGAACUGCGAGUGUAGAGGUGAAAUUCGUAGAUAUUCGCAAGAACACCAGUGGCGAAGGCGGCUCACUGGCCCGAUACUGACGCUGAGGUGCGAAAGCGUGGGGAGCAAACAGG